CCUCCACAUACUUUGAGUGCUUCUGGUCCUCCUGGUAAAUCUCGAGAUGUCCUGUCUCCAGCUGCUCACAGCUCUGGGGUGACUGUGACUGUGGCUCUGGCUCCUGCCAGUUGCUCAGAGAUGAGGCACCUGUGUGCUGCGUUUUGGGGAGCUGGGCUUCUACAUGCUUCUGCCACAAGUGGGAACACUUGUAGUGGCUUCCAGGAAGACAACCUCAGGGGUUACCUCCACGGCCACCAACUCCAGAGGGCUGUCUGCUCUACACCUCUGCUCAGUCCACUUCUGGCAGGAGCGGAGGACUUCCGUGCCAUACAGAAAGUCUCACUGGAAUUGUGUCUGUUGAAGAACCCCACAUCCUAGCACAGAUUUGGAAGGCUGGAUUCCUUGCUGGCAGCAGUAGGCUCAUCAGAACAGGAGGUCCAGGCUGCCUCUCAAAAUCCAGGUGAGAGAAUGCCACACACCACACAGGUAUUGAUGGGCUCACACAUCUCCAUCAGCCCUGUCCUUGGAGGGAGGCUGAGCACUAAGGACAAGUUUGGCCUGGUGACUGAAGAUACUCUGUGGUUGGCCUUACGGGUCAGUUUAUCCUUCUGGAAAGCUGUCCCUAGAGGUUUGGGUGUGACAGCUCCUGCCUUCAUUCCCUCAGCCUUGAUUACAGUGGUGGUAGGGAUCAAAUGCCCAGGAUUUUCCAGUCUGCCUGUUGCCAAUAUGAGUGCUUGCCUAUUACCCAAGGGUCCUCAUGAGACACCUCUGGCCGGCAGCCCAAGUGCCGUGGGGGUAGUAAUAAACUCUUACUGCUUUGUAAGUGCAGCCUUCAGCACAGACCCUGGCCAAAAGCGUCUGAUUCUUAUCAGAGGCUGAAGGACAGGUUUUGCUGGAGUUUCUAUGCCCAAACUUGAAAAGCAAGUUCAUCUGCCCCUUUACUCUGCAAACAUGGGGUUCCAUCUUAUUCUUGAGAAAAGGCCAAACACUCCGCCUCCAUAAUGACUCUAGAGAUCACUGUGUGGCCUAGUGACCACUGGCUGCUGGUCACUGGAGCAAGGCUGACCAACUGUGACACUUUGCCUGGGACUGAGAGGUCUCCUGGGACUUGGGAUGUUCAAUGCUAAAACCGGGGAAGUCCCAAGCAAUCCGGGAUGAGUUGAUCACUUUAACCAGAACUGAUCCUUGUCCUCUUAGACCAGCUCCUCAGCAUCCACACG
rnacentral:lncRNA from 1 species